UUGGAGAGAAGUGAGGAAGCUGGACUGGUGCAGAGACUCUCCAGGAUCCAAAGGACACCUUUGUUCCCUCCACCCCAUCCCAGCUGGGCCAAGUGCUCUGCUCCCAUAGCUGUGGGCCUGGGUCAAGAUCUAUUUGACUGCUUUGUACCUUUUUAUUGUUAGAACCACAAAACCAAGAAAGGGAAACUGAGUGACUACAGGGGAAACAGUGAAAGAGACUAUACAUAAAGUGUGGCCAGAUACAAACAGAAUAAAAGGAAGAAGCUCAGGAGUGGAUUCAACAUGAGCAAAAAUGGAUCAAAGCUGAGUUGGAGUCCAGACUUGCAGAGAUCAGGCUUCUCAUGACUGAAGGUGGGGAUGGAGUCUCUCUUCACACAGAUCAUUGGUGAGUGGAGGAAAACAAAGUUCUGCCCAACCCAGGUAUG